CAGGGACCUGCAGGGCCUCUUGGGAGGAUGUUGUUAACGUAAAGAGCCAGGCUGAUGAGGAAGGCUCCUGAGUCCUUUGGGUAUAAGCGGGAGUUGGGGCGGCUGGAGGGCAGAUGACUCUAAGAAGGUGCGGAUCUUCGGUUCCAAGGGGAGAAUUUGACUUGGGUUUUGUCUAAAGUGCUGAUGGCGGGCCUCACAGAAAAGUUACCAUGAACCGACUUUCCGGAAUUCCCUUGGCGCUGCGGCCUCGUAGCAAAAGGAAACCGAGAGGAAGGCGACGACGAUUGGCCUGCGGUGAUGUUAGCGGGCAAGCACCUUCAGCCCUUAAGCCCAACCAGAUGAUUUGCCUGCAGGUUGGAGGCCUUCAGCGCAUUUCACUAGACCUCUGUCUGUAUCGGUCCAGUUAGCCAAGCUUUGAUUAAGGAUGACUUCCUUGUUUGCUCAAGAAAUUCGCCUUUCUAAAAGACAUGAAGAAAUAGUAUCACAAAGAUUAAUGUUACUUCAACAAAUGGAGAAUAAAUUGGGCAAUCAACACACAGAAAAGGCAUCUCAGCUCCAAACAGUUGAGACUGCUUUUAAAAGGAAUCUUAGUCUUUUAAAGGAUAUAGAAGCAGCAGAAAAGUCACUGCAGACCAGGAUUCACCCAAUUCCACGGCCUGAGGUGGUUUCUCUUGAGACUCGUUACUGGGCAUCAGUAGAAGAAUAUAUUCCCAAAUGGGAACGGUUUCUUUUAGGAAAAGCACCAUAUCCUUUUGCUGUUGAAAAUCAAAAUAAAGCAGAAAAUACCAUUCAAAAUGAGGCAUAGCGAUAACUUCUUCCCAUGGUAUUUCGAAAAGCCUGUUUAAUACAGCUGGGUGUUAAGGAGUAUGUAGGUAAUUGCAGGAACUUUAGGAAUUAAAUAUGUUCAUAUUCUCCAUUAUGUCCUAAGUGACAGUGAAGAUAUGAGAAUUUAUUGGCAAGCCUCAUGUUAUCACCUAUUACCAUUUCAAGGUCCCGAAUUUGCUUUCUACCAAACCGAUAAAUGUGUUAAACACUAAUAUUAAAAAGUGGAUUCUUUAUUAAAAAAAAAAAA